CAGCAGCCGCGGUAAUACGUAGGGUGCGAGCGUUAAUCGGAAUUACUGGGCGUAAAGGGUGCGUAGGCGGAUUCUUAAGUCAGGGGUGAAAUCCCGAGGCUCAACCUCGGAACUGCCUUUGAUACUGGGGAUCUUGAGUCCGGAAGAGGUGAGUGGAACUGCGAGUGUAGAGGUGAAAUUCGUAGAUAUUCGCAAGAACACCGGUGGCGAAGGCGGCUCACUGGUCCGGAACUGACGCUGAGGCACGACAGCGUGGGGAGCAAACAGGAUUAGAUACCCCCGUAGUCCCUGUCUCUUAUAC
rnacentral:rRNA from 1 species